UUAAUGAGUGUCCUCACUCAUUCAGAGGUGAUAUUAAAGACAGUCUUUCACCAAUCAACCUUUGACAUUCCGUAAUGAUCAGAUCUUCGUUUGAUAUAUACCGAAACUUUGUUUGAACGACAAAAACAUCAUCCCACAGUCCAACACUUAACUUAAGACGUAAAUUAGUAACUUUGACCUAUUUACCAAUUCUUAGAAGGUGGAAAUGACUCUUCUGAACACCUUUUUUCAAUAAUUAUUCUAAGGAUAAAUCCCAUAGUUGGCAAAGUACAUAAAAUAUCUCUUGGCAAAGGAAAAUAUUCUAGUUGUAAAGGAUGUGGAUGCCUAAAUUCAUCUUCUAGAUUUGAACAUAUGACAUUUGAUUGGAUAUCAGUACCAUCCAAAGCAAAGAUCAAUCAUUCAUCAUUUGCAGCCUAACUAUGGUAAAUGUUUUUGCAUGUCAAAUUAGUGAAAGUUUCUUCCUUGAUUUCUUUAAACAUUGGAAAUUUCCUUAAAUCUUCUCGAAGCUGAAAGUUGACCAUCUAUUUUCUUAACCUAUCUAUAAGUCUCUGUAGGUAGAAAAUUAGAAGUAACUUAAUAAGGAUCAAAAUUAUCAUUAUCUUUGCCUUUAUAUAAAGCUAAUGAGAAAGUAUUAAAGUAACAUUUACUUCUCCAUUGAAUGUUUUUACCAAUACAAGACAAAGUUGAAUUAGAUACCCAACGGUAGCCACAAGAGGAAGACUUUCAGUAUUUGUAGCAAAUACACUAGGUUCAGCCAUAUUGAAAUCUUAAUGUGUGGCAUCACUUAGUCUGAGAUGACGGCUAUAUUGAAGUGUGUUGUUCGGGUGGUAGAAGCAAUGUCAUGUGAAACUGAAAAUCUCUACUCUUCUACUCGAAAAUAUAGAAUGCAUCUAACAGUAUAGGAUUCAACUGCUAGAAUCCAUGCUUAUGUAAUUGAAGAGGAUAUGGUGACCAUUUUUUAUGGUAAUCAUGACGUUGAAAAGUUGAGUAGGAAGCUGAAUAGAUUACUUAGAGUAUCUGAAGGUAGUGGUCGCAUUUUGGGGUUAAGUUAGACUUAAAAUCUACUUCUUAAUUUGGUAUCAAAGUCAGGUUAAAGCUUAAGGAGAAAACAACAA
rnacentral:sRNA from 1 species